rnacentral:rRNA from 1 species
CGAACGCUGGCGGCAGGCCUAACACAUGCAAGUCGAACGCAUGCCUUCGGGCAUGAGUGGCGCACGGGUGAGUAACGCGUGGGAACCGACCCUGGGGUUGGGGAUAACCGCUGGAAACGGCGGCUAAUACCCAAUACGCCUUGAGGGGGAAAGAUUUAUCGCCCUGGGACGGGCCCGCGUUGGAUUAGGUAGUUGGUGGGGUAACGGCCUACCAAGCCUACGAUCCAUAGCUGGUUUGAGAGGAUGAUCAGCCACACUGGGACUGAGACACGGCCCAGACUCCUACGGGAGGCAGCAGUGGGGAAUAUUGGACAAUGGGGGCAACCCUGAUCCAGCCAUGCCGCGUGAGUGAAGAAGGCCUUAGGGUUGUAAAGCUCUUUCAGUGGUGAAGAUGAUGACGGUAGCCACAGAAGAAGCCCCGGCUAACUCCGUGCCAGCAGCCGCGGUAAUACGGAGGGGGCAAGCGUUGUUCGGAAUUACUGGGCGUAAAGGGCGCGUAGGCGGGAUAUUCAAGUCAGAGGUGAAACGCCCUGGGCUCAACCUGGGAAUGGCCUUUGAAACUGGGAUGUCUGGAGUUCGGGAGAGGUGAGCGGAAUACCCAGUGUAGAGG